UAGGGGGGAGGGGGGGCCUCUAGAGGGCUAUCUGGAGUCGAGCGGAAGAAUGGGAGCCCUGCUCCCUGAUGUUAGCGGCGGACGGGUGAGAAACACGUGGGUAACCUGCCUGUAAGACUGGGAUAACUCCGGGAAACCGGGGCUAAUACCGGAUGGUUGUCUGAACCGCAUGGUUCAGACAUAAAAGGUGGCUUCGGCUACCACUUACAGAUGGACCCGCGGCGCAUUAGCUAGUUGGUGAGGUAACGGCUCACCAAGGCGACGAUGCGUAGCCGACCUGAGAGGGUGAUCGGCCACACUGGGACUGAGACACGGCCCAGACUCCUACGGGAGGCAGCAGUAGGGAAUCUUCCGCAAUGGACGAAAGUCUGACGGAGCAACGCCGCGUGAGUGAUGAAGGUUUUCGGAUCGUAAAGCUCUGUUGUUAGGGAAGAACAAGUGCCGUUCAAAUAGGGCGGCACCUUGACGGUACCUAACCAGAAAGCCACGGCUAACUACGUGCCAGCAGCCGCGGUAAUACGUAGGUGGCAAGCGUUGUCCGGAAUUAUUGGGCGUAAAGGGCUCGCAGGCGGUUUCUUAAGUCUGAUGUGAAAGCCCCCGGCUCAACCGGGGAGGGUCAUUGGAAACUGGGGAACUUGAGUGCAGAAGAGGAGAGUGGAAUUCCACGUGUAGCGGUGAAAUGCGUAGAGAUGUGGAGGAACACCAGUGGCGAAGGCGACUCUCUGGUCUGUAACUGACGCUGAGGAGCGAAAGCGUGGGGAGCGAACAGGAUUAGAUACCCUGGUAGUCCACGCCGUAAACGAUGAGUGCUAAGUGUUAGGGGGUUUCCGCCCCUUAGUGCUGCAGCUAACGCAUUAAGCACUCCGCCUGGGGAGUACGGUCGCAAGACUGAAACUCAAAGGAAUUGACGGGGGCCCGCACAAGCGGUGGAGCAUGUGGUUUUAAUUCGGAAGCAACGCGAAAGAAUCCUUUACGAGGUCUUUGACAUCCUCAUGACAAUCCCUAGAGAGAGCGACGUCCCCCCUUUCGGGGGCAGAGCUGACCAGGUGGCAUGCAUUGGAUCGUCCGUUCAGCCUCGACUGUCGAUGAGAAUGUUGGUGUGUGAAUAUAUUAACCGCCUUCCCCACGCCUAACGCGGAGAGCAGGCAUAUCU
rnacentral:rRNA from 1 species